rnacentral:misc_RNA from 1 species
GAAAUGCGAUAAGUAGUGUGAAUUGCAGAAUUCAGUGAAUCAUCGAAUCUUUGAACGCACAUUGCGCCCCUCGGUAUUCCGUGGGGCAUGCCUGUUCGAGCGUCAUCUACACCCUCAAGCUCUGCUUGUUGUUGGGCGUCUGUCCCGCCUCCGCGCGUGGACUCGCCCCAAAUUCAUUGGCAGCGGUCCUUGCCUCCUCUCGCGCAGCACAUUGCGCUUCUCGAGGGGCUACGGCUCGCGUCCAACAAGCACAUUUACCGUCUUUGACCUCGGAUCAGGUAGGGAUACCCGCUGAACUUAAGC